AGAUGCUGCAGUCAGCAACAUCAGGUCCUGACGGCAGCCUGAGACUGGUGACAGCUCCUUUGGAUGACUUUGCUCUGCCCGCAGAUUUCUCGCCGCAGCAUCUGGCUGUGCAGUACAGCACCCUGUGUGCAGCCCUGCUCUGACACUUUAUACAGAAAUGGGCAAUUUCAAAUCGCAAGCUUGAACUCUCUUGACAUUUCUUGUGUUAAAACCCAAUUAGUACAUCAUCAUGACUGUGCAAGCAGAUACUCGAUGUCUAUGAAAGCACAGUGUAUGCUCUAAGCUAUGACGGGUGUAUAUUGCAACUUAUUACAUUUUUAAGAUACCACACAACCAAAACAUGCGUUGCCAAGUUCCAAACAUCAGGAAUCUUGCUGCUGCACAUUGGCUCUCUUCAAGAAAGAUGUCAAUGCUUGAGAACUGCCGUUGCCAUAGGUAUUCUUGCGUUUUUUCUCUCUGGACAGGCUUCUAGCUCCUGCCUUGUCAUUGUGCUGGUGCAUGCUCUGUCCCCCUCCCACAUUUC
rnacentral:lncRNA from 1 species